rnacentral:rRNA from 1 species
GACGAACGCUUGCGGCGUGCCUAAGAAAUGCAAGUCGAGCGAGGUUUAGGCUUCGGCCGACGACCUAGCGGCGAACGGUCGCGUAACACGUAAGCAACCUGCCCUAAAGUUGGGGGACUAGCCCGCCGAAAAGGCGGAUUAAUACCGAAUGUGGAUAUGUAUUCGCAUGUAUAUAUAUCUGAAGCAGCGAUGCGCUUUAGGAUGGGCUUGCGGCCUAUCAGUUAGUUGGUGUGGGUAACGGCCUACCAAGACGACGACGGGUAGCUGGUCUGAGAGGAUGGUCAGCCGGAUUGGGACUGAGACACGGCCCAGACUCCUAUGGGGGGCAGCAAUUAGGAAUCUUGCGCAAUGGGCGAAAGCCUGACGCAGCGACGCCGCGUGACUGAUGAAGUCUUUCGAGAUGUAAAGGUCUUUUGUUGGGGACGAAGGAAGUGACGGUACCCGACGAAUAAGCCCCGGCUAACUACGUG